rnacentral:lncRNA from 1 species
CCCGCCGCUCACACGGGCUGCGGCCGAGUUCAAUUCAGAACUGCGGCGAGUCCGGCUUCCCCGGGAGCCGGGGCCGCCCGGGCGCCGGGGGCCGAGUUCCGAGGGACUUUGCAAAAGAGGCGCUCGCCUCCCUCCCUGCGCGCCUCCUCCGGGAGCACGGGGAUGCUUGCACCUGCGCCGCCGGGGACCGCCUGGCCAGAGCCGCUGCUCCGCCCCCGGGGACGGGGGGACCUGCGCCCAGGAGCGCUUGGAAAUUGGAUCUUGGCAAAAUUAGCAACGAAUCCAUAAAGGAGACUAAAAGCCAUUUGAUCUCCCUCUUCAAUGACAGUCCCACAAAAGUCGAAGAAAUACAUUAUGUCUCCAAUGAAGAGAGCAGUUGUACCCUAAAAUUAGGACAUGAUUAAGGUAUGACAUUUCUUUUAGUUCAGUUGCAAUGCUUUGUUCUAUUACAGAUCAUUUCUUCUCCCUUUUUUAUCCCAGUAUCUCUCUCUCUCUCUCUCUCUUCCUUUUCUUCCUCUCAUUAGCAGAUUGUCUUUUAUAAUUGAUGUUGUUCACCGCCCUUUCAUCAGAUAUAUGCCACAUCUCUUAGGCGAGCCAUCCAACAGGGCACCUAAAUACACAUUAGAAGGUACUAGGAGCCAUGAGUCGCUUUGACCUCCUCCUCAGGGCAGUUAUAAUAAGCAUCUUGAUGCCACUGAAUGCAAUGCUGUAUUCAAAUAAUAGCCUUCAUCUUUACCCUCUUUAAAUAUAAAAGUAAACCUUGAAGCCUUUGAAGGACCUAACCAAACAACACACAUGUGAAAAUAGACCAGCGAGUCUUUGAAAAAAAAAAAAAAAAAAAGACCUUAUGUAAAAUCUGUAAAGAAUCUUGGCAGUUUUUCAAGAAAGACCUCCAGGUAAACGAUGGCUGUGAACAAGAUACGUGGCCGUCUAGUUAUAGGGAUCAUUAUUGUGGGCCCUCUGUGCCAUUUUUGUUCCCAGCAGGAUCUUUCUUUUCUCAUCGAGUUUUCAGGGAUAUCUAUCUACUGUUCUCUGUGUGUAAAGCAUAUUGAAGUGGUCCCACAAAGAUGCACUAAUUAAAAGAAACAAAACGUAGAAAAAAAAAAAACCUAAAAGAAAAAAAAAACUUUGUCAAGUGGUCAGACAGAGUGGAACUAGAGGAUUAUAGGUAAGAGGGAUAAAAUGAAGGGUUGGAAGCUAUAAUUUCUAUUUCUGUGGUGGCAACCGCAUCAGCUAUUGGAGUCAGGCAGUUAAAAGAUAUGGCUACUUAAGCACAGAGUCUGGGAAGAAGACACUUCAAAAUAUAACAGUGAAUCAGGCCUCUGAUGGCAAAGAUGCACUAAAUGAUGGGGAUCCCUUGCCGGGGUCCUUUUCCUAAUUGUCUCGACUUCCUUCUUUCCCAUACUCAUGUCUUCCACUUUCCAUUUGUUUCCAUCCUUGUCUUGCACAAGUCCAUCUAAUACUUUCCUUCCUCCUAGAAAACAGAGAACAUAUUUUAAAAGGAGACCCUGCAUCUCAAGGGACUUCUUCAUUUUGCCAGAAAAUAGUUCAUUCUUGAACAUGAUCUGACUGUGGAUUCUCAGGAAAAGCCCCCCUCCCUAUAAAUAGUUUUAAAGAGCAUGUAUGCACAUAUGGAUGUCAGGCAAUCAAAUCUGUAGAUAGAGUAAUUUGAAGAAUGAAUUAUUAGAGUGACAGGAUCACUUAGAAAACAUUGAGAAAUACAGAUAGCUGUCUAGCUUACAUAAUAUUUACCAUCAUCUUGGGAGUUUCAUCCUACCAUUUGGCCUUAUCCUUAUAUUUUUAUUGGAAUUAACAGAAUCAGAGAGUUAGUAGAAAGCAUAGAAAUCUGUAAUACAGUUUCUCGUAUUGAAGUGAAGAAAAUGAAGCCCAGAAAAUAAUCUAAGUCAUCUUGCUUGUCUAAAAUGCCAUUGGUUUAAUUUUAGUUUUGCAUAUACAUAGACCAAGAAAAUACUUUCCCAGAAACUGGUUACAAAUGUCUGAGAAGAGACAUAAUCAUUAAAAUAUACAUGUAGUAAAUAUAAUAUCAUUCAGUAGUUGCUAAUAUAUAUUGAAAUUGCCUGGAGGUUUUAUGCAUUUAGGAAAACUUACUUUCAUUGUUAAUAUAGCCUCUGACCUCUGUAUAUGUAUAACAUGUAAACAAGUUCAAAUUUUCUAUAAGUCAACUCUAUUUUUGUUUACAAGUACAACCCCCUUUUGAUUUUUUUUUUUUUUUGUCUUCUGAUUAUAUAUUACUCACAGUUCUGUAGUUUUAACCAGAACAAAAAGGAUUGCCCGGAAGAAAAGAAGGUAAGUUAUUUCCUAAGUUGGGUUGGAAAUUCAGAAGUUCUUUUCCAUCACCAGCAUUGUAUUCUUGAAAAAAAAAAUAAGACAAACUCUAAUUUUUUUUCACUUAUGAGCUGUUCCCAUAAAAACUGGCAGAGGGGGGUGGGGAGGAAAUCCACUGUAGAGACACAGCUAUACCCUAUUAUUAGAGGCAUUGGUGGUAUCCUAUAGGAAAUAUAGUUUGUUCUUGAAGACAGAAUAGGCUUAAUGUCAAAAAAAAAACUAAAAUAUCACACAUACCCCAAAAACAUGUUUAUAAAACAAAGCUUUUAAAUUUUUAAUUAUACCACUAAGCUGGCUUUCUAGUUUUUCUAGGAUAUCAAGGCAUUCAAAAAAAAAAAAAAAAAAGAAAGAAAGAAAGAAAAGAAAGAAAGAAAAAAAGAAAGAGAAAGAAAGAAAGAUUUACUCAGGUUAGUGUUGGAAACAUCACAUAGAAAUAUGUGUGGUGAUGUUACUGGAAAUGACUAUUUUUGUAAAGUAAACAAGUAGAAUGUCUGAGUUUUAAAAAGCCUGCCACACUGCCUUAAGGUUAAAGAUGCAAGUCUAGAUAUAUCUAAGAAAUUGUAGUUUGUUUAACUUUUGGUUCUAAGUAUUUUCUGAUGCAAAUAUUUAAAAGAUUGCUAUGUCUUCAGUUAAAAAUGAACAUUUUGAUCAAGUAGUAAUACUUAGGUUGUUUUCAGUUUCUGUAAUUAAAUGCUACUUGCUACUUAUUCGGGGCAUAGGUUUCAGUUCCAAAUCAUUGAGGACACGGCUAAGUGACAUAACCUAAUUUUUUAAAAAGUCAAACAACAAUUUUGUGGCAGUUUUCAACUAUAACUUUAAUUUGUGUUUUAGGGACUUCAUAUGUAGUUAAAUAGCAUCAGGAUCUUAAUUAUCAUAAUUUAAAUGAUAAUCUAUAAAAUAUGGAACAUGAUAAUAUAAUGAAUGCAGACUUAAGGAAAAAUUGCAUCCCCUUAGCCAGAAAAGUACGGGAAAUCAGAACCAAUGAGGAACAUAAUUAUUUUUCCUGAUACUUCGAUAGACUAAUCUAUAAAAGUUGGGUUUGAU